GUGCACUGUGCUGAGGUGUGUUCAUCCGACGCCUGCAGCCAGGGCCUCAACUAUUCCCUGCUAGGCUGUUGUGGUGGGCAGCUGCAACUCCACUUAGUUUUGUUAGGAUGUGUGUCCUUAUCGUCCGCAGGCAUGUCUGUUCCUGAGCUCCCUUUCUCCUGCCGCUGGCUUUUCCAGACUGCCCUGGUCCGGCGGCAUGUUCGGCGAGUUUUGGCUUGCUGGGCAACCUGGCUAGUAUUUCGG